rnacentral:rRNA from 1 species
AGUGAACGCUGGCGGUAGGCCUAACACAUGCAAGUCGAACGGCAGCACAGUAAGAGCUUGCUCUUACGGGUGGCGAGUGGCGGACGGGUGAGGAAUACAUCGGAAUCUACUUUUUCGUGGGGGAUAACGUAGGGAAACUUACGCUAAUACCGCAUACGACCUACGGGUGAAAGCAGGGGAUCUUCGGACCUUGCGCGAUUGAAUGAGCCGAUGUCGGAUUAGCUAGUUGGCGGGGUAGAGGCCCACCAAGGCGACGAUCCGUAGCUGGUCUGAGAGGAUGAUCAGCCACACUGGAACUGAGACACGGUCCAGACUCCUACGGGAGGCAGCAGUGGGGAAUAUUGGACAAUGGGCGCAAGCCUGAUCCAGCCAUACCGCGUGGGUGAAGAAGGCCUUCGGGUUGUAGCCCUUUUGUUGGGAAAGAAAAGCAGCAGGUUAAUACCCCGCUGUUCUGACGGUACCCAAAGAAUAAGCACCGGCUAACUUCGUG